CCUACGGGAGGCAGCAGUGAGGAAUAUUGGACAAUGGGCGCAAGCCUGAUCCAGCCAUGCCGCGUGCAGGAAGAAGCAUCUAUGGUGUGUAAACUGCUUUUGUACAGGAAGAAACACUCCCUCGUGAGGGAGCUUGACGGUACUGUAAGAAUAAGGACCGGCUAACUCCGUGCCAGCAGCCGCGGUAAUACGGAGGGUCCGAGCGUUAUCCGGAAUCAUUGGGUUUAAAGGGUCCGUAGGCGGUUUAAUAAGUCAGUGGUGAAAUCUGGUCGCUCAACGAUCAAACGGCCAUUGAUACUGUUAGACUUGAAUUAUAAGGAAGUAACUAGAAUAUGUAGUGUAGCGGUGAAAUGCUUAGAUAUUACAUGGAAUACCAAUUGCGAAGGCAGGUUACUACUUAUGGAUUGACGCUGAUGGACGAAAGCGUGGGGAGCGAACAGGAUUAGAUACCCUGGUAGUCCACGCCGUAAACGAUGGAUACUAGCUGUUCGGAGCAACCUGAGUGGCUAAGCGAAAGUGAUAAGUAUCCCACCUGGGGAGUACGUUCGCAAGAAUGAAACUCAAANAGAGUAGAGNGNGAGAGAGACGACGACGACGACGAGGGAGGAGG
rnacentral:rRNA from 1 species